rnacentral:rRNA from 1 species
UACGUAGGGUGCAAGCGUUGUCCGGAAUUAUUGGGCGUAAAGAGCUCGUAGGCGGUCUGUCGCGUCUGCUGUGAAAACUCAGGGCUUAACCCUGAGCUUGCAGUGGGUACGGGCAGACUAGAGUGCGGUAGGGGAGACUGGAAUUCCUGGUGUAGCGGUGAAAUGCGCAGAUAUCAGGAGGAACACCGGUGGCGAAGGCGGGGUCUCUGGGCCGGUAACU